AUUGAACGCUGGCAGCAUGCUUUACACAUGCAAGUCGAACGGUAACAGGGUGCUUGCACCGCUGACGAGUGGCGAACGGGUGAGUAAUACAUCGGAAUGUACCCAGUAAUGGGGGAUAACGCUUCGAAAGGAGUGCUAAUACCGCAUACGCCCUGAGGGGGAAAGUGGGGGACCGCAAGGCCUCACGUUAUUGGAGCAGCCGAUGGCUGAUUAGCUAGUUGGUAAGGUAAAGGCUCACCAAGGCGACGAUCAGUAGCGGGUCUUAGAGGACGAUCCGCCACACUGGAACUGAGACACGGUCCAGGCUCCUACGGGAGGCAGCAGUGGGGAAUCUUGGACAAUGGGCGAAAGCCUGAUCCAGCAAUGCCGCGUGCGUGAAGAAGGCCUUCGGGUUGUAAAGCGCUUUUGUCUGGGAGCAAAUCCUGGCCUCUAAUACAGGUCGGGGAUGAGAGUACCAGAAGAAUAAGGACCGGCUAACUACGUGCCAGCCGCCGCAGUAAGAC
rnacentral:rRNA from 1 species